AAACUGAGAAAAUUUAUUACUACCAAGGUGAACAGUUUCACUAACUGCUACUUUCUCUAAUAUGUCUCAGACCAAUAAUGAAUACUUGUUCUGGCACUGCAAUGAAUCAGUAGCAUAUUAAAUGAUAGAUAUGGAGAAUAGUGAAAGUCCAGACCUCCUCUUGUCCACUUCUUAAAAUCCUUGCGCAAUAUGUCGACUACUUUAAGAUCAGAGAUAUCAUACAUUUUGUAUCUCACUGCAAAAGCAAGAGUUUAGCUCAAAGAUUAGAGAAAAAUCUGCAUGUACACAAGCUUUGAAUUGCAGCAAACUUUGUAUAAAAAAUGGAAGUUUCAGGUCUGGUAAAAACCAUUGGAUCCAAAGCGACCAGCACCAUUGAGUAACAAAGUAGCAUGUACUUGUCUUUCGUUGUGCAAUGAGGGCUAGUAAGAUUUCCAGUGUCCAUUAGGAUGCCAGCUAACUGAUCGAAAAACA
rnacentral:lncRNA from 1 species